UGUUCUUGUGGAAUACAGUGAACACCACUGCCAUUGCUGUGGGGUGAACCAGACUCAUCGACUGAAGGUCCACAGCCACAAAGUUGGUUGUGGCUGGCUCAACUCACAAGGGGUUCAGAUGAAAGCAUAAAGCAUAUAUACCAUAGUCUAUGGUAUUGAGGGUGGAUCUUCGGAUGCGCUGCAACCAGCAAAGUUUAUAUAGUUUAUUCAAUGGGGAAGAAAGGAAGAUGACGAGAGAACGUUAAGUCCUUUACACAGGUCUCAACUGGCUGAAUGGGGUCGUCUCAAGAUGUCUGAACUCCAGUGCUUGUGGAAAUGAUAUUUGGAUGAAGGGGACUUUCAAGGGGCUGCUGAACCGGUGUUGUCUUUAAUUCAAUAUGGCUGUGUUCUUGGGAAGAGUGGAUGAGUACAAACACACAGAGGAAGCCCAUGUGAAGACAAAGGAAGAAAGGUGAUGGAAUAGAGUUCACAUUUCAAAUGCCUGCAGAAUUGUGAG
rnacentral:lncRNA from 1 species